rnacentral:rRNA from 1 species
AGCGAACGCUGGCGGCAGGCCUAACACAUGCAAGUCGAGCGCCCCGCAAGGGGAGCGGCAGACGGGAGAGUAACACGUGGGAACGUACCCUUCAGUUCGGAACAACCCAGGGAAACUUGGGCUAAUACCGAAUACGUCCGUAAGGAGAAAGAUUUAUCGCUGAAGGAUCGGCCCGCGUCUGAUUAGCUUGUUGGUGAGGUAACGGCUCACCAAGGCUACGAUCAGUAGCUGGCUGAGAGGAUGAUCAGCCUCACUGGGACUGAGACACGGCCCAGACUCCUACGGGAGGCAGCAGUGGGGAAUAUUGGACAAUGGGCGCAAGCCUGAUCCAGCCAUGCCGCGUGGGUGAUGAAGGCCCUAGGGUUGUAAAGCCCUUUCGGCGGGGAAGAUAAUGACGGUACCCGCAGAAGAAGCCCC